CCGAAGGCCAGCCCGGCACUCAGGCCAGGGCACUUGGACACCACGCUGCAGGAGGCUGGUCUCGCCCAGGCCUCUGUGGGAAGGGCCGCCAGGCUGAGUGGAGGGCCAGCCACCAGCUACGGUGUCUUCCUUCGCAGAAGCUUUGGAGUCUCCCAAAAUGCCUGCUGGGUCUCUGCAGGACUGGCACCUGUCACCGGAACCUGUCUGGGAGGGACGAGAACACGCUUUGCAAGAGGAAGCUCUGCCUCACAGAGCCCUGGGCUCACUCAGGGACCCUGGCCAGCAGCUGCUUCCUCUCCCCACAGCGGAGAGAGACCCAAGGGUCCCAGGGCGGAUGCUUCCCACCAGGCCAGCCCAGCGUGCAGGGUGGCCUCUCUCAUCUCCCUGGAGCACAGCCCUGUGGUUGGUGGAGCAGCUUCUCCAGCCCCUAGGAUUCCUAAGAGGGCCCAGGACCCCAGCUGCUGGUAGAGGAAGAGCAGCCAACCCAGGACAGGACAGCUGACCCCACCCCUGUCCCGCCUCCCACAACAGCCUCAUUUCCACCUAUUUCUUUGUGGUGUUUGUUUGUUUGUUUUGAGACAGAGUCUUGCUCUGUUGCCCAGGCUGGAAUGCAACAGGCUUCCUCCCAGGAGGAAGCCUCCCCUCCUGGCAUGAUCUCAGCUCACUGCAACCUCUGCCUCCUGGGUUCAAGCGAUUCUCCUGCCUCAGCCUCCCAAAUAGCUGAGAUUACAGGCAUGCACCACCAUGCCCAGCUAAUUUUUGUGUUUUUAGUAGAGACUGGGUUUCACCAUGUUGGCCAGGCUGGUCUCGAACUCCUGACCUCAGAUAAUCUGCCCACCUCGGCCUCCCAGAGUGCCGGGAUUAUAGGUGUGAGCCACCGCGCCCAGCCCCACCUGUUUCUUAUACAACGGGGUUCUGAGGAAAUUUUCCUUUUUUUUUUUUUUUUUUUUUGAGACAGGGUCUUGCUCGCUUUGUCACCCAGGCUGGAGCGCAGUGGUACAAUCACAGCUUGCUGCAGCCUCCACCUGCCAGGGCUCACACAGUCCUCCCAUCUCAGCCUCCCAAAUAGCUGUGACUACAGGCACGUGCCACCAUGCCUGGUUAAUUUUUGUAUUUUUCGUAGAGAUGGGGUUUCACCAUGUUGCCCAGGCUGGUCUCAAAUUCCUGGCCUCAAGCAGUCCUGCCUCAGCCCCCCAAACUGCUGGGAUUACAGGCAUGAGCCACUGUGCCCUGUCAGAAUUUUUCAUUUGAAUAAAAAGGUUUCUGGUACUACAAAAUAAAAUUUGUAAAAUGGGAAAUAGAGACCUAGGAAU
rnacentral:lncRNA from 1 species